GAUGAACGCUGGCGGCGUGCCUAAUACAUGCAAGUCGAGCGAAGAGACGAGGAGCUUGCUCCUCUGACGUUAGCGGCGGACGGGUGAGUAACACGUGGAUAACCUACCUAUAAGACUGGGAUAACUGCGGGAAACCGGAGCUAAUACCGGAUAAUAUAUUGAACCGCAUGGUUCAAUAGUGAAAGACGGUUUUGCUGUCACUUAUAGAUGGAUCCGCGCCGCAUUAGCUAGUUGGUAAGGUAACGGCUUACCAAGGCAACGAUGCGUAGCCGCCCUGAGAGGGUGAUCGGCCACACUGGAACUGAGACACGGUCCAGACUCCUACGGGAGGCAGCAGUAGGGAAUCUUCCGCAAUGGGCGAAAGCUUGACGGAGCAACGCCGCGUGAGUGAUGAAGGUCUUCGGAUCGUAAAACUCUGUUAUUAGGGAAGAACAAAUGUGUAAGUAACUAUGCACGUCUUGACGGUACCUAAUCAGAAAGCCACGGCUAACUACGUG
rnacentral:rRNA from 1 species